GCUCAACAAGGCUAUCAAAAUGGGAAGUGGGAGUUCCCUUCAGUUCAAUUGCCUAAGAACGACAGGGUGAGUGAUUCUAAAGGUCCCCCAAUGUCUACUAAAAAGGUCAGAUCUGAGAAGGAGCCCAGACAGUACUCAAGCAAUAAAAGGAGAAAAAUGACUGAAAAAGCAGUUGACAGCUCUCGUGCUCCUUGGAGGUGGAGUCUUGAUAAGAGACGACUCAAUCCCGGAAAAGUAAGUGAAGGACCUCUUA